UGAGUCUUAGAUGAGUGAAAGGUGCUGU
rnacentral:piRNA from 1 species